rnacentral:rRNA from 1 species
UGGGGAAUUUUGGACAAUGGGCGCAAGCCUGAUCCAGCAAUGCCGCGUGCAGGAUGAAGGCCUUCGGGUUGUAAACUGCUUUUGUACGGAACGAAACGGUCUUUUCUAAUACAGAAGGCUAAUGACGGUACCGUAAGAAUAAGCACCGGCUAACUACGUGCCAGCAGCCGCGGUAAUACGUAGGGUGCGAGCGUUAAUCGGAAUUACUGGGCGUAAAGCGUGCGCAGGCGGUUUUGUAAGACAGAGGUGAAAUCCCCGGGCUCAACCUGGGAAUUGCGUUUGUGACUGCAUAACUAGAGUACGGCAGAGGAAGGUGGAAUUCCACGUGUAGCAGUGAAAUGCGUAGAUAUGCGGAGGAACACCGAUGGCGAAGGCAGCCUCCUGGGCCAGUACUGACGCUCAUGCACGAAAGCGUGGGGAGCAAACA